GCUCUGCCAACGCUACGGCUUGGCAGGCCGACCUUUCGGUUAUCGAAGGUGGUCAGCCGGUUUUGUCCUGCUUCGGCAAACACGUUUCACGGUUCGGUAGAGCGCUGAUUACUGAGAAUGGAAAGGCGCGGCCGAC
rnacentral:sRNA from 12 species